GAUGAACGCUGGCGGCGUGCUUAACACAUGCCAGUCGAACGGGAAACCUUUUAUUGAAGCUUCGGCAGAUUUAGCCGGUUUCUAGUGGCGGACGGGUGAGUAACGCGUGGGUAACCUGCCCUAUACAGGGGGAUAACAACCAGAAAUGGUUGCUAAUACCGCAUAAGCGCACAGGGCCGCAUGGUCCGGUGUGAAAAACUCCGGUGGUAUAGGAUGGACCCGCGUUGGAUUAGCCAGUUGGCAGGGUAACGGCCUACCAAAGCGACGAUCCAUAGCCGGCCUGAGAGGGUGAACGGCCACAUUGGGACUGAGACACGGCCCAGACUCCUACGGGAGGCAGCAGUGGGGAAUAUUGCACAAUGGGGGAAACCCUGAUGCAGCGACGCCGCGUGAAGGAAGAAGUAUCUCGGUAUGUAAACUUCUAUCAGCAGGGAAGAUAGUGACGGUACCUGACGAAGAAGCCCCGGCUAACUACGUG
rnacentral:rRNA from 1 species